GGGCCCGUAGCUCAACCGGUCAGAGCAGCGGACUCAUAAUCCGUUGGUUGCAGGUUCGAGUCCUGCCGGGCCCACCA
rnacentral:tRNA from 1 species